rnacentral:ncRNA from 1 species
UGAUCGGGCGUCACCCUUGGGCGGGAUGACUAGAAUAGAUCGAACACUCUGUCUCAAUGGGGCGUGUCGCCGUGACCCCAACGGUGGAUACG